CACGUAGGCGGAUUGCUAAGUCAGGGGUGAAAUCCUGGAGCUUAACUCCAGAACUGCCUUUGAUACUGGCGACCUUGAGUCCGAGAGAGGUGAGUGGAACUGCGAGUGUAGAGGUGAAAUUCGUAGAUAUUCGCAAGAACACCAGUGGCGAAGGCGGCUCACUGGCCCGGUACUGACGCUGAGGUGCGAAAGCGUGGGAGCAAACA
rnacentral:rRNA from 1 species